rnacentral:rRNA from 1 species
GGGGUAUUCCGAGGUUUUAUCUCAUCACCCUGUGACAUACCUAUAACGUUGCCUCGGCGGGAACAGACGGCCCCGUAACACGGGCCGCCCCCGCCAGAGGACCCCCUAACUCUGUUUCUAUAAUGUUUCUUCUGAGUAAACAAGCAAAUAAAUUAAAACUUUCAACAACGGAUCUCUUGGCUCUGGCAUCGAUGAAGAACGCAGCGAAAUGCGAUAAGUAAUGUGAAUUGCAGAAUUCAGUGAAUCAUCGAAUCUUUGAACGCACAUUGCGCCCGCCAGUAUUCUGGCGGGCAUGCCUGUUCGAGCGUCAUUACAACCCUCAGGCCCCCGGGCCUGGCGUUGGGGAUCGGCGGAAGCCCCCUGCGGGCACAACGCCGUCCCCCAAAUACAGUGGCGGUCCCGCCGCAGCUUCCAUUGCGUAGUAGCUAACACCUCGCAACUGGAGAGCGGCGCGGCCACGCCGUAAAACACCCAACUUCUGAAUGUUGACCUCGAAUCAGGUAGGAAUACCCGCUGAACUUAAGCAUAUCAAUAAGCGGAGGAA